UACAGAGGUCCCAAGCGUUGUUCGGAUUCAUUGGGCGUAAAGGGUGCGUAGGCGGCGCCGUAAGUCGGAUGUGAAAUCUCGGAGCUUAACUCCGAAACUGCAUUCGAUACUGCCGUGCUUGAGGACUGGAGAGGAGACUGGAAUUUACGGUGUAGCGGUGAAAUGCGUAGAUAUCGUAAGGAAGACCAGUGGCGAAGGCGGGUCUCUGGACAGUUCCUGACGCUGAGGCACGAAGGUCAGGGGAGCAAACGGG
rnacentral:rRNA from 1 species